rnacentral:lncRNA from 1 species
UCUAAACUUUAUAGAGGUAUGAUGAAUUUUUUACUUUAUUUGACUGUUAGUAGGCUUAAUAUUAUCUUUACUAAAUUUCAAUAUAAUUCUAAAAAAUUCAUUGUUGUUAAAAGAAUCUUUAGAUAUUUAAUUGAAACUCAAAAUAUUGGAUUGUGAUAUUCUAUGUAAUCUUCUAUUGAUCUAGUGGAUUAUUCAGAUACUUAUUUCAUUAUACA